rnacentral:rRNA from 1 species
GUGCACCAGGCGAGAAUUUUUCUCAAUGGGGGAAACCCUGAAGGAGCGACGCCGCGUGGAGGAUGAAGGUCUUCGGGUUGUAAACUCCUGUCAUUUGGGAACAAGCGUCGGUACGUAACUACUACCGGCUUGAUAGUACCAGAGGAGGAAGAGACGGCUAACUCUGUGCCAGCAGCCGCGGUAAUACAGAGGUCUCAAGCGUUGUUCGGAUUCAUUGGGCGUAAAGGGUGCGUAGGUGGCGCCGUAAGUGGGGUGUGAAAUUUCGGAGCUUAAACUCCGAAACUGCAUUCCAUACUGCGGUGCUUGAGGACUGGAGAGGAGACUGGAAUUCAUGGUGUAGCAGUGAAAUGCGUAGAGAUCAUGAGGAAGACCAGUGGCGAAGGCGGGUCUCUGGACAGUUCCUGACACUGAUGCACGAAGGCCAGGGGAGC